rnacentral:misc_RNA from 1 species
AAAACGGCUACUGCCUACUCUGUAUUAUUCGUCCAUGGCUUCUCCUGCCAAUUCAGUUUCAACUUUUCUGUCUCUAAAUCUCUACCAAUAACCCAUUUCCAUAUAAUUUUAUAUAUAUACUCCUGUCUCUCCUUGCUCCUUACAAUCUCUCAUGGCGGGUUCAAGACCCUCCUCUGUCUCUUCGCAGUCUUCUUCUCAGGCCUUCACUUCCCGUCUGUUAUUGCUUCUCACUCUCCUUCCCUUAACUCUUGCUGCCUUCGCUUUUGUUCUUCAAUGGCGUGGUGGAUUGACCGACCCCGUUUCUCGCUGGUCGCCCGACCACCACGAGUUUCCUGGAAUGGAAACCACCAGCUCCUCCACCGCUUCAUCAAGAACGAAGGAUUCCGGUUGUACGGAUCUUCUGGGUCGGAGCCAUUACCCGUCAUUUCCUUAUUACAGGAACUGGAAAUUCGAUUUCGGGUCUGAUCUGAAGCCCAAGAUAUGUAUAACUACAAGCACUUCUGCAGGCUUAGAUCAGACUUUGCCCUGGAUAUUUUAUCACAAAGUUAUUGGAGUUUCAUCCUUUUUCCUUUUCGUGGAGGGGAAGGCUACCUCUCCUAAUGUAUCUAAAGUUUUGGAAACAAUACCAGGUGUGAAAGUUAUAUACAGAACAAGAGAACUGGAGGAACAACAAGCUAGAAGCCGGAUCUGGAAUGAGACUUGGCUGGCAAGCUUCUUUUACAAACCAUGUAAUUAUGAGUUAUUUGUCAAGCAAUCCCUCAACGAGGAAAUGACCAUUGUCAUGGCAAGGGUGUGGAAGCUGAUAUGGAUUGGAUUAUCCAUCUUGAUACCGAUGAGCUAAUACAUGCUGUGGGAGCUCGUGAAUAUUCCCUGAGACAAUUGCUUUCUGAUGUGCCUUGAAAUGUUGAUAUGGUUAUCUUUUCAAAUUAUAAGUUAUUUGUUUCAGGUGAGUAGUGUUGAGCAAGAUGAUGUCAAGGAGCCUUUUAUUGAGGUUUCCAUGUUCAAGAAGAACUAUGAUCUUCUUCCAAAAGAUGUAUACUUUGGAAAUUAUAAAGAAGCAACUCAUGGUAAUUCAAAUUACUUUCUGACAUAAGGAAAUGGGAAGGCUGAUGCCCGAAUUCAAGAUCAUCUUUGCCCAAAUGGUGCACAUAGAUGGCAUAACUAUAUGAAGACUCCAAAGUAUACUCAUUCAAUUUGAAAUCCUAUUGAUUUUAUGUGCACCAUCCCUUUUUUUUAUGUUGUUAUUUUGAGUAAAAAUGUGAUAUUUGCAUGUAUACACACUUGUGUCGGCACAUUAUUCAAUUUGCAAUUGGAUGAAUUACGUGACAGAAUAUUUUUCAUUGCAUGCAAGCAUGUGGUUUUGUUUGUUGUCUCCUGAGGGUCAAGGUCAUUAAGCGGAUUUCUGUAUCUACUUAUUUUCUGAAUCCAUUCCGACUUAUGAUGCUUUCAAACUUAUGCUUAAAGAGUUGGCAAGCACCUAAGUGUCUUUCUGUGUAAAAUUUGGUAGUGAGAUCAAAUUGGAUGAGGCUGCAGUUCUGCAUUAUACAUACCCAAAAUUUUCUGAUUUGACUUAAAGAGGUAAUCGGCGUGGUUGCAAGCCUACAAAGGAUUAUGUUAAAAGAUGUUUUAUGUUGGAAUUUGACAGAGCUGCAUUCAUAAUUGCUUCAACUGCAACAGCAGAGGAAAUGCUUCGCUGGUAAUAGCCAUAUAUAAACUCUUGCUAUUUUCCUGUUUUGAUUAGGUUUUUUUGCUAUCUGGUAUGAUGAUAAUUUAUUCUGUAGAUGCAGUGAAAUAAUUUCAAAUAUCCUAAAUAUUGCCACUCGUACAAUUCUCAUUGCAUUAGGUAAUGGGAACGUAUUGUGUGGACUGAAAAAUCACUGAAUAUUGAACUCAUGAGAAAGGGCAUCUUGACUCGCAUGUAUGCUCCCAUGGUCAGUCUAACCACCCCAAUUAUUGGUUUGAGGUUCCCAUGAGAUUGAAAGUAGUAAAUUUUGGGUGAAUUUGUGCACAGUGCCUCUGCCACUCUCCUUAGACCUUUCUUAAUUCAGUGUUUGCAGGUCAUUGUCCAAGGACUCAGGGAAUCUGGUGUAUUCAGUAAUGUCAUGGCAAUGUCACAGACAAACCUAACAGAAUUAUUUUCUUCGGUUAAGAAUAGUAAUUCUACUAAAGCAGCUAAAUGUGGAGUUAUUUCUUCACAAAAGAUUGGUCAAAAUGAAGAACUCAGGCAACUGCAAGAAGGGUCUUGCAGAUAAGUGACAAUGCUUCUUUCCCCUCAGCUGUUCCACCACAAUCUCCUCCUGAUGAGGAAGAUAUUGAGGUAUCGUAUAUAGAUGUAUUGACCUAACAUCCGCAGCUGUCCUGGCCCACUUAGCAUCAUCAUUCCCUACGAUAGAUUAAGAUGCGAUCGAGAAUUGGAGACGUUUGGAAAAAGAUAUCCCCAGGGAAUGAGAAAAGUAGCAUAGGCUGCAGUGGUGGUGCAUUUUGGUGUUCGGUUGAUGGGGCUCUUCCCGAUCAUUACCCAAGCGCUGGUGUUCAUUUCAUGUAGAUAAUAGAUUCUAUAGAGAGAGAGGGUUGUAAAGCUUGAUUCUGAUUCCAUCACGGUGAUUUUUUCGACUUCUUGAUAGUUUUUCUAGAUGCCUUGGCUGGUUUCCUUUGGUUUGUAAUUGGAAAUACACAUUUUGAGGGGAUGUAUGAUUGUAUCAUUCCCAUUCAUGAUACAGCCAAAUAUUACUUGAAGAUUUGAAGUGCAAGUAGGUUCUUAAUUAUUACUAUAUACUAAAGGGAAAUUAUUAUUUAGAUCGGUUCCAUUAUGGACUAAAAUACAAACAUAUGAAACAAACAUAUGAAAUUCAUAUAUAGGUAGGUCUCAUGUA